UGGCUCGGAAGUACGUGGGCAAAAUCCUCGCCGCCGCCACAACAAUCGCGGGCACCAACCUAUCGAAGUGGCUGCGUGGGUCCUCGCUGACGCCCAAGGGCCAAUCAGAGGUUUUAUUGACUGAUGAAAACUACAUCUUUGUCAGCCACCAGCUCCACGGGGACAGGGAACCUGAGAUGAUGCCAGAUAAUCAGCCUGAGAGCAAACACAGAGUUCCGGAAGGUGACCCAAGAGGGAGAAGAGAGAGGAAUAUGUGAAAAGGUGUUGUGGGGAGGAGGAGAGAAGUUCCUCCUGCCUUCUACAACUCCCAGAGUUCAAGAACAACCCAGGCCUCAGCCCCUGGCGCUUCUGGACUCCUGCCCAAGCACAAGGAAUCAGCUCAUGAUCUCCAAACCCAGCCCAACCCCUGUUGGUUGCCAGCCCCGCCAGAGUGUCCAGCUCCUGCAUGCUUCCACGGCUGACCGAGGCAGUGGAGUUGGCAAGGCGGAUGGCACGGCGCUUGGCCCUGCGGGGGCAGCAAGAGGAUAGCAGGCUGCCAGGCCCCACUG